GACAGCACUUACUGAAGAAGAUGUACUCGGUGUAGCUGCUCCAGAUCUUGUCGUCCCUGUACUGGUUGAUGAAGGCGGCGGUGCCGGUGGAGUUGCAAGCCACCAUGUGGAAGCCCGCCUCGGAGAGCCGGUCGAAGGCUUGCUCCAGACACCUCCAGCUCAUCCUGGCCUGUGUUCACACAGCUGCCUCCACUGCUUGUCAUGGGACUCCUUGAGGCUGAACAUGACUCCAAAGAACAAGCAGGAAAGCACCUGCAGACUCAAGCAGCUCUGAUGAACUGCCUGGAAGUGAAAGGAAAACAAUUAAAUGGAGGAGAACAUAAUUUGCCCUUUUUCCUAGUUUCUACCAUUACAUUACGUUACAAGAGGGUUCAGAACUCAGGAAUAGAUGUUGACCUAUGAGAAUGCAAGGCACAGACUGUAUAUGCAUUUGCAACUGUGUUGGGGAGGAUCAGAGGAUAAAAGCAAAUUUAAUCGUUUUUAUUAAUUAAUCAGCUGCAAAUCUGCUUCUUGUAACUGUGUAAGGGUUCUAUUAUCUGCUUUCUAGGAAUCAGCUUCCUAUUGGUAUUAAUGAGAAUUAUGUGAGCUUAGUUAUGAUGACAUUAUUUAGUCAUGGAAAAACAUUUAUCUAUUCUAAGUAAUCGAACUGUAGUUUUCUAGGACAUGCAUGUGCCCUUUUUUCAGUAAUAGAUGCAUCUAUGGUUUGCAGGAACACUUGCUAAAUACAGUGUGGUAUUGAUUUCAACGUACAAAGUGGCCAAUCCUUUUUUUCUUAGUAUUUUCAUCACUUGGAGCAGCUUGAUUCUGAUUAUGUGUUACACUUCUACCUAAUUGAAAUGUUCUCAUAUGGAAAAUUUUCUCGUGUAGAAAACAGAACUACAGAUGCAAAGUGGGUUUUUUUUUCAGUGACUCAUCUAUUUCUACGGAUUUCUAAAAUAAAUUGUUAUUACCUAGAGUAAUUUUUAACCACACCUUAUACCUCAAGUUCUGCUAAUCUGGAAUCUUGAUUUCUGCUGUAGAUGGAUGGGGGGAUAACUGAUGAACUGAUUAUUCUGUUGAACUGAUUGUUCAACACAGUCAGAUAAAUUUUUACCAGGUAUUACUAGUACAGUAAUGGUAUUGGGAAAAAGAAGUCAGGAUUAGCAUCUAACCAUCCUAGUGUUUCUUGCUUAUUUAAUUUGGGAAAUGACAUCCUCAUGAAAUCUGUUUUUCAGCCAUAAAGGAUGAUAUCUCCCUGGUCCAUGGAGGAAAUUGUAGCUCUUACAUUCCCUUCCUUAUGCAGGCGCAUGUUUGUCAAUCUUCCAUCUUGUUCUUAAUCAGAGGAAAAUUCAGCCAAAAAAAUGCAAGACUAAAAUCUAUUUUAGUCUACUGCAGUGAUUAAAAGGUGAAGUUAUAGUUAAUGGUACUUUGUUUUGAGGAAGGUUGUUACAGCAGCAUAAAGACACACACACCUAUAUACCAAACAGCACUGCCACAUCUAACAAAAAAAGCUUGAUGCUGCCAGCUUCCUGGUGAAAAUCCCUCUUAAAUCAUAAUAAAAGACUAAAUCCCUAGCAUAAUACUUUCUGAAAAGAAAAAUACAGCCUGCCAGGAUCCUGCCUUAGCUGGGAGGUAAGGAAGAUUUCAUUCAGUCUUUAUCAGUGUUUAUGUCCAUGCCCUUUCUGUACAGAUGGAAAUGUAGUGAAGCAGAAGCUAUUUGGGAAAUUGAAGGAGGCUGGCAAAGACUUACAGCAAGAUAUGAAAAUAAAAGGCUCAGUCCUAUGUGCUAGAAAUGGCAAUGCAAACUAGCUCCAAAUCUGGAAUGAAUCUUUCACUUUUUCAAGUGCUGUUACUUUGUUCAUUGUUUGUGGGUUUUUUCCGACAGUUUCCAGUCUUGAAUACUCACUAAUAAAAGUUCUUAAUCAAAUGGCUGUCUUAUAUUGCAGUUGCAUAACAAAUGGAUAGCUGACCAAGGAGAAAGAAAACUAAGAUGUCAAAUUAUUGUUUCUGAAGGUUUGUUGAACUUUUAUAAGACUGUUUAAUGUGCCAGUGUCAGGGCUGGCUUCUACCAUGUAUUCUUCUGGCUCCUGUACUAAUAAUUGUUGUCUCCUGAGGGACUGAAACAGUAUGACCUUGGAUAUUUGUUUUCUAUUAAAUAUGGCAUAUGUCUGCAGUCUUUCAGAAGUGUGUAUAUCAAUAUAUUGGAAACCAUAAUUGAAAUAAUUAAAUGCUUGUGCCCAAACAUACAUAA